rnacentral:misc_RNA from 1 species
UGGUUCUGGCAUCGAUGAAGAACGCAGCGAAAUGCGAUAAGUAAUGUGAAUUGCAGAAUUCAGUGAAUCAUCGAAUCUUUGAACGCACAUUGCGCCCCCUGGUAUUCCGGGGGGCAUGCCUGUUCGAGCGUCAUUACAACCCUCAAGCUCUGCUUGGUCUUGGGUGGCACCGCCUCGCGGUGCGCCUUAAAAUUAGUGGCGGCGCCGUCUGGCUCUAAGCGUAGUAACACACUCUCGCUAUAGAUGCCCGGCGGAGGCUAGCCAGCAACCCCCCAAUCAUCAAGGUUGACCUCGGAUCAGGUAGGGAUACCCGCUGA